AAAAAUCGAGGGGAAGAGGAGAGGGCUUGGAGGCAGCAUGUGGGGAGAGGUCAACCUCUAAAGUGCCAGCUCUCCAGAAAUGCAGCCGGAAUGAAGGCUUUAUUUGAGGAGCCUGGCAGUCCUAUAAGGGGAAACCCACCUAUUACUUCAAGCAAAGCUGAUGCAGAGAGAUGAGCCAAUUGAGCAGGAGACAAUGUAAGCAGCUGUGGGGGUGUCGAGUACUCCCUCCUGCCUGUGGGAGCUGCACCGUGGAGUCUAGCUUGUCACCCUCCGGAGGCAGAGCCCCUCCUCCCUGCCUCCUCUUGGUCUAGAUGGACAGCCAUGGCAGCGGAGGCUGCAGAGCUGAGCAGGUGAUACUGGGCAGCGACCCUGCUGCGGGCAGCGUCCACACCCCACAGCUCUUUACUGCAUUUAUUUAACAAGCGACAUUGAGCCAGCAAUCUCUGCUGAAAAGUGCUCAGCCCUGGAGAGAGAACUGUGAACAACGUGGACACAGCUCCUGCUUUGUGGAGCUUGGUGUCUGACUGGGGUAAAAAUAAACAAGCAGUUACAACAC
rnacentral:lncRNA from 10 species